GAUGAAGAACGUAGCGAAAUGCGAUAAGUAAUGUGAAUUGCAGAAUUCAGUGAAUCAUCGAAUCUUUGAACGCACAUUGCGCCCGCCAGUAUUCUGGCGGGCAUGCCUGUUCGAGCGUCAUUACAACCCUCAGGCCCCCGGGCCUGGCGUUGGGGAUCGGCGGAGCCCCCCGUGGGCACACGCCGUCCCCCAAAUGCAGUGGCGGUCCCGCCGCAGCUUCCAUCGCGUAGUAGCUAACACCUCGCGACUGGAGAGCGGCGCGGCCACGCCGUAAAACACCCAACUCUUCUGAAGUUGACCUCGAAUCAGGUAGGAAUACCCGCUGAACUUAAGCAGAUCAAUAAGCGGAGGA
rnacentral:misc_RNA from 1 species